AUGAAGACAUAUGUUCCUACUUUAUUCAUGCUCUCGUGGCUGCAGCUGAAUGGAAUGAGCCAAGGUGAGCAGGUGGAGCAGCGUCCUUCCACCCUGAGAGUCCAGGAGGGAGCCAGAGCUGUCAUCAACUGCACAUAUGUAGACAGUGCCUCGUCCUAUUUCCCUUGGUAUAAGCAAGAACCUGGGAAGCAUCCUAAGCUCAUUAUUGACAUUCGUUCAACUGUGGAAAAAAAGCAGGACCAAAGACUAAUCAUUUCACAUGAUAAGAAAGCCAAACACAUUUCCCUGCACAUCACAGACAGCCAGCUUGGAGACUCUGCCAUGUACUUCUGUGCUGCAACUGGCCCUGGGAGGAACCAGCUCACUCUUGGGAAAGGCACCAAACUGUCACUCACACCAAAUAUCCAGGACCCAAAACCAGCUGUGUACCAGCUAAGAGAUGCUCAGGCCAAGAACAGCACCAUCUGCCUGUUCACCGACUUCAGUUCCCAAGUCAAGUCAGAGGACACGCCACCUGAUGUGUUUGUCUCCAACAACACCGUGCUGGACAUGCGGUCUAUGGAUUCCAAGAGCAAUGGGGCCAUUGCCUGGAGUGACCACAGUAGUUUAAACUGUAAAGACGCCUUCAGACAGAACGCCUCCUUCCCCAGCUCAGAUGUUCCCUGUGAUGCCAGGUUGAUAGAGAAGAGCUUUGAAACAGAUAUGAACCUCAACUUUCAAAACAUGUCAGUGAUGGGACUCCGAAUCCUGCUCCUGAAAGUGGCCGGAUUUAACCUGCUCAUGACGCUGCGGCUGUGGUCCAGUUGAGGUUUCCAGACUGAAGGAGGCUGAACUCCCAAGCUCCUUCCUCUUCAUCACCCCUCCUUGUCCUCUUCAAGCGAAAAGGAGCCUGUCCACCUCCUAAAGAAGGCUCUCGGGUCUGAGCAGCUCACAACCCCAUCAACUGGGUCUCCUGAAUCUGUGAUAGAGACCGCUGAAGAGCCGCUGCUACCCCACUUCCUCACUGCUGCCGGCCACUCAAGACAGGCAGGGGCUGCUGCUUCUCCUGGAUGUGAAAACCCUUCACACACACCCCUGCUCUCCCCCAUCCCCACCCCUGCAACUGCAGCUCCUUGUGAAUGUUGUAAAGAGCAUGUUUUUGUUUUUAGUUUUUUAAAGCAGACAUAAAGAAAUACACAUUACUCUUUCCUCAAGGUGUAGAAAACUUAACUCCUUGUCUAGACCCUCCCUGCUCCUGUGUGUGUCUGAACUGUACUGUACAUCGUUCUGCUGUGCAUGGCUUCAUUAAAGAUGACUCA